UACGGGGGGGGCAAGCGUUGUUCGGAAUUACUGGGCGUAAAGGGCUCGUAGGCGGCCAACUAAGUCGGAUGUGAAAUCCCCAGGCUUAACCUGGGAACUGCAUCCGAUACUGGAUGGCUUGAAUUCGGGAGAGGGAUGCAGAAUUCCAGGUGUAGCGGUGAAAUGCGUAGAUAUCUGGAGGAAUACCGGUGGCGAAGGCGGCAUCCUGGACCGGCAUUGACGCUGAGGAGCGAAAGCUAGGGGAGCAAACGGG
rnacentral:rRNA from 1 species